rnacentral:rRNA from 1 species
CACGUAGGGGGCAAGCGUUGUCCGGAUUUAUUGGGCGUAAAGAGCGUGUAGGCGGUUCGGUAGGUCCGUUGUGAAAACUCGAGGCUCAACCUCGAGACGCCGAUGGAAACCAUCGAACUAGAGUCCGGAAGAGGAGAGUGGAAUUCCUGGUGUAGCGGUGAAAUGCGCAGAUAUCAGGAAGAACACCCGUGGCUAAGGCGGCUCUCUAGUACGGUACUGACGCUGAGACGCGAAAGCGUGGGGAGCGAACAGG